UCCUGUUUCCUGUGGCGAGUGUGAUGGCAUGUGACACCUGUAUGAUCGUCCAGGAGAUGUGGGUCUUUGUUGCACACUGUGGCAUUAACAAGCUAAACACAUGCUUCGAGUCAUCCUCAGAUUCUGCCUGCCUGAGUUGUCACCAAGAGCCGUUUUCUGCUGCUGUUGGAUCUGGCCAUGGAGCAAACAGUAGAUGAUUCAGAUCAGACGCUUCCCAGGAAGCUGGACUGGCUGAGGCUUAAACGGAGUCGUGGGAAGAGAUUUGGACAUUCAGAUUUCAAAAAAUAUUGCAAACUUUUCCACUGGGAUCUCUACAACUGGAGGCUAGAAAAAGGUAGCCAGCAAAGGGAUGUAGUGAGCCACUCCUGUUCUUGGUUGUCUGUCGUAUCCCUCCCGAUCAUGUCCAGCCACAGAGAGGAGAUGUAA
rnacentral:lncRNA from 1 species